rnacentral:rRNA from 1 species
AUGGACAAUGUGUUCCCUGGAGUAGAGCAUAGGGAAUGCAUGCGUCACCUUGCUGCAAAUUUCAUGAAGAAAUUCAAAGGAAAGGUGUAUACCAACAAUUUAUGGCCAGCAUCUUUGACUUGCAGUGUGAAGAAGCACAACUACCACUUGAGGCAAUUAUACAUGAAUCCCAAAGUGAAAGAAUACUUGGAAACACACCACUCCAAGUUAUGGGCCAGAAGCCAAUUCAGUGAACUGAGCAAAGUUGACUAUGUGCACAAUAAUCUAGCAGAGUCUUUCAACUCAACGAUCCAGAAA